GAUGAACGCUAGCUACAGGCUUAACACAUGCAAGUCGAGGGGCAGCAUGGUCUUAGCUUGCUAAGGCCGAUGGCGACCGGCGCACGGGUGAGUAACACGUAUCCAACCUGCCGUCUACUCUUGGACAGCCUUCUGAAAGGAAGAUUAAUACAAGAUGGCAUCAUGAGUCCGCAUGUUCACAUGAUUAAAGGUAUUCCGGUAGACGAUGGGGAUGCGUUCCAUUAGAUAGUAGGCGGGGUAACGGCCCACCUAGUCUUCGAUGGAUAGGGGUUCUGAGAGGAAGGUCCCCCACAUUGGAACUGAGACACGGUCCAAACUCCUACGGGAGGCAGCAGUGAGGAAUAUUGGUCAAUGGGCGAGAGCCUGAACCAGCCAAGUAGCGUGAAGGAUGACUGCCCUAUGGGUUGUAAACUUCUUUUAUAAAGGAAUAAAGUCGGGUAUGGAUACCCGUUUGCAUGUACUUUAUGAAUAAGGAUCGGCUAACUCCGUGCCAGCAGCCGCGGUAAUACGGAGGAUCCGAGCGUUAUCCGGAUUUAUUGGGUUUAAAGGGAGCGUAGAUGGAUGUUUAAGUCAGUUGUGAAAGUUUGCGGCUCAACCGUAAAAUUGCAGUUGAUACUGGAUAUCUUGAGUGCAGUUGAGGCAGGCGGAAUUCGUGGUGUAGCGGUGAAAUGCUUAGAUAUCACGAAGAACUCCGAUUGCGAAGGCAGCCUGCUAAGCUGCAACUGACAUUGAGGCUCGAAAGUGUGGGUAUCAAACAGGAUUAGAUACCCUGGUAGUCCACACGGUAAACGAUGAAUACUCGCUGUUUGCGAUAUACUGCAAGCGGCCAAGCGAAAGCGUUAAGUAUUCCACCUGGGGAGUACGCCGGCAACGGUGGAACUCAAAGGAAUUGACGGGGGCCCGCACAAGCGGAGGAACAUGUGGUUUAAUUCGAUGAUACGCGAGGAACCUUACCCGGGCUUAAAUUGCAGAUGAAUUACGGUGAAAGCCGUAAGCCGCAAGGCAUCUGUGAAGGUGCUGCAUGGUUGUCGUCAGCUCGUGCCGUGAGGUGUCGGCUUAAGUGCCAUAACGAGCGCAACCCUUGUUGUCAGUUACUAACAGGUUCCGCUGAGGACUCUGACAAGACUGCCAUCGUAAGAUGUGAGGAAGGUGGGGAUGACGUCAAAUCAGCACGGCCCUUACGUCCGGGGCUACACACGUGUACAAAUGGGGGGUAGGGGGGGCCGUUACCAGGGGAGGGGAUGCCAUUCCCCAAAACUUUUUUCAGUUGGGAUUGGAUUUGGCAACCGGAUUCCAGGAAGCGGGAUUGGUUGGUAAUGGGGCUUCAGCCAGGGGGGGGUGAAUACGUUCCCGGCCCU
rnacentral:rRNA from 1 species